rnacentral:rRNA from 1 species
AGUGAACGCUGGCGGUAGGCCUAACACAUGCAAGUCGAACGGCAGCACAGUAAGAGCUUGCUCUUACGGGUGGCGAGUGGCGGACGGGUGAGGAAUACAUCGGAAUCUACUUUUUCGUGGGGGAUAACGUAGGGAAACUUACGCUAAUACCGCAUACGACCUACGGGUGAAAGCAGGGGAUCUUCGGACCUUGCGCGAUUGAAUGAGCCGAUGUCGGAUUAGCUAGUUGGCGGGGUAAAGGCCCACCAAGGCGACGAUCCGUAGCUGGUCUGAGAGGAUGAUCAGUCACACGUGAACAAAGACACGGUCCAGACUACUACGGGCGGCAGCAGUGGGGAAUAUGGGACAAGGGGCGGAAGCCUGAUCCAGCCAUGCGGCGGGGUUGAAGAAGGUCUUCGGAUUGUAAAGCACUUUAGGGUGAGAGGAAGGGCAGGAAGCUAAUACCUUGCUGGUUUGACGUUACCAACAGAAUAAGCACCGGAUAGCUUCGUG